rnacentral:rRNA from 1 species
GACGAACGCUGGCGGCGUGCUUAACACAUGCAAGUCGAACGGAAAGGCCCUGCUUUUGUGGGGUGCUCGAGUGGCGAACGGGUGAGUAACACGUGAGUAACCUGCCCUUGACUUUGGGAUAACUUCAGGAAACUGGGGCUAAUACCGGAUAGGAGCUCCUGCUGCAUGGUGGGGGAUGGAAAGUUUCGGCGGUUGGGGAUGGACUCGCGGCUUAUCAGCUUGUUGGUGGGGUAGUGGCUUACCAAGGCUUUGACGGGUAGCCGGCCUGAGAGGGUGACCGGCCACAUUGGGACUGAGAUACGGCCCAGACUCCUACGGGAGGCAGCAGUGGGGAAUAGUGCACAAUGGGCGGAAGCCUGAUGCAGCAACGCCGCGUGCGGGAUGACGGCCUUCGGGUUGUAAAACGCUUUCGCCUGUGACGAAGCGUGAGUGACGGUAAUGGGUAAAGAAGCACCGGCUAACUACGUG